GUGAGUCAUCGAGUCUUUGAACGCAUAUUGCGCCCUCUGGUAUUCCGGAGGGCAUGCCUGUUUGAGCGUCAUUUCCUUCUCAUAUCCCUAGGAUGUGGUGAUGAACGACACUUUCGCAAGAAAAGUCCGUUUGAAAUGAAUUGGCACGAGUCUUUCGACAGAUAGAUGCUAUGUUUUCAAUGUAUUAGGUUUACACCAUCGUUGAUUGUAGUAUUGGACUGUUGGAGUUAUGGGCUUUGCCUUACAAACUUUACCUUAAAGUUUGACCUCAAAUCAGGUAGGAUUACCCGCUGAACUUAA
rnacentral:rRNA from 1 species